rnacentral:rRNA from 1 species
AUUGAACGCUGGCGGCAGGCUUAACACAUGCAAGUCGAGCGGGGUGAUGGUGCUUGCACUAUCACUUAGCGGCGGACGGGUGAGUAAUGCUUAGGAAUCUGCCUAUUAGUGGGGGACAACAUCUCGAAAGGGAUGCUAAUACCGCAUACGUCCUACGGGAGAAAGCAGGGGAUCACUUGUGACCUUGCGCUAAUAGAUGAGCCUAAGUCGGAUUAGCUAGUUGGUGGGGUAAAGGCCUACCAAGGCGACGAUCUGUAGCGGGUCUGAGAGGAUGAUCCGCCACACUGGGACUGAGACACGGCCCAGACUCCUACGGGAGGCAGCAGUGGGGAAUAUUGGACAAUGGGGGGAACCCUGAUCCAGCUAUGCCGCGUGUGUGAAGAAGGCCUUAUGGUUGUAAAGCACUUUAAGCGAGGAGGAGGCUCUUUUGGUUAAUACCCAAGAUGAGUGGACGUUACUCGCAGAAUAAGCACCAGCUAACUCUGUGCCAGCCGCCGCCGUAA